rnacentral:rRNA from 1 species
AUUGAACGCUGGCGGCAGGCCUAACACAUGCAAGUCGAACGAGUGGCGGACGGGUGAGUAAUGUCUGGGAAACUGCCUGAUGGAGGGGGAUAACUACUGGAAACGGUAGCUAAUACCGCAUACCAUCGGAUGUGCCCAGAUGGGAUUAGCUAGGAGGUGGGGUAAAGGCUCACCUAGGCGACGAUCCCUAGCUGGUCUGAGAGGAUGACACCCCCCACAGUAACUAAGACACGAUCCAGCCGCGACCACCAUCACUACAAAAAUAAUAAUGCACAAUGAGCUCAAGGCUGAUACAGCCAUGCCGCGUGUAUGAAGAACACCUUCGGGUUUUAAAGUACUUUCAGCGGGGAGGCGUUACCCGCAGAAGAAGCGCCGGCUGACUCCGUGCCAGCCGCCGCGGUAAUAC